UACGGAGGGUGCAAGCGUUGUUCGGAAUCACUGGGCGUAAAGAGCGCGCAGGCGGCUGGUCAAGUCCGAUGUGAAAUCUCCCGGCUCAACUGGGAAACUGCAUCGGAAACUGAUCGGCUUGAAGAUGGGAGAGGGUAGUGGAAUUCCCGGUGUAGUGGUGAAAUGCGUAGAUAUCGGGAGGAACACCAGUGGCGAAGGCGACUACCUGGCCCAUUCUUGACGCUGAGGCGCGAAAGCUAGGGGAGCGAACGGG
rnacentral:rRNA from 1 species